GGCGCGAUGGCGGAGUGGUCUAACGCGAUAGACUAGAAAUCUAUUCUCUUCGGAGGCGUCUGUUCAAAUCAGGCUCGCGUCG